UUGUUUGGCGGGGUAACGGCCCACCAAGCCUUCGAUGGAUAGGGGUUUUGAGAGGAAGGUCCCCCACAAUUGGAACUGAGACACGGUCCAAACUCCUACGGGAGGCAGCAAGUGAGGAAUAUUGGUCAAUGGACGAGAGUCUGAACCAGCCAAGUAGCGUGAAGGAUGACUGCCCUAUGGGUUGUAAACUUCUUUUAUACGGGAAUAAAGUGAGGCACGUGUGCCUUUUUGUAUGUACCGUAUGAAUAAGGAUCGGCUAACUCCGUGCCAGCAGCCGCGGUAAUACGGAGGAUCCGAGCGUUAUCCGGAUUUAUUGGGUUUAAAGGGAGCGUAGGCGGACGCUUAAGUCAGUUGUGAAAGUUUGCGGCUCAACCGUAAAAUUGCAGUUGAUACUGGGUGUCUUGAGUACAGUAGAGGCAGGCGGAAUUCGUGGUGUAGCGGUGAAAUGCUUAGAUAUCACGAAGAACUCCGAUUGCGAAGGCAGCUUGCUGGACUGUAACUGACGCUGAUGCUCGAAAGUGUGGGUAUCAAACAGGAUUAGAUACCCUGGUAGUCCACACAGUAAACGAAGGAUUCUCGCUGUUUGCGAUAUCCAGUAAGCGGCCAAGCGAAAGCGUAAGUAUUCCACCUGGGGAGUACGCCGGCAACGGUGAAACUCAAAGGAAUUGACGGGGGCCCGCACAAGCGGAGGAACAUGUGGUUUAAUUCGAUGAUACGCGAGGAACCUUACCCGGGCUUGAAUUGCAACUGAAUGAUGUGGAGACAUGUCAGCCGCAAGGCAGUUGUGAAGGUGCUGCAUGGUUGUCGUCAGCUCGUGCCGUGAGGUGUCGGCUUAAGUGCCAUAACGAGCGCAACCCUUAUCGGUAGUUACCAUCAGGUUAUGCUGGGGACUCUGUCGAGACUGCCGUCGUAAGAUGUGAGGAAGGUGGGGAUGACGUCAAAUCAGCACGGCCCUUACGUCCGGGGCUACACACGUGUUACAAUGGGGGGUACAGAAGGCAGCUACACGGUGACGUGAUGCUAAUCCCUAAAGCCUCUCUCAGUUCGGAUUGGAGUCUGCAACCCGACUCCAUGAAGCUGGAUUCGCUAGUAAUCGCGCAUCAGCCACGGCGCGGUGAAUACGUUCCCGGGCCUUGCACU
rnacentral:rRNA from 1 species